rnacentral:rRNA from 1 species
CGAGCGAACAGGGAAGAGCUCAAAUUUGAAAUCUGGCGUCCUCCGGGCGUCCGAGUUGUAAUCUAUAGAGACGUUUUCCGUGCCGGACCGUGUCCAAGUUCCUUGGAACAGGAUAUCAAAGAGGGUGACAAUCCCGUACUUGACACGACGACCGGUGCUCUGUGAUACGUUUUCUACGAGUCGAGUUGUUUGGGAAUGCAGCUCAAAAUGGGUGGUGAGUUCCAUCUAAAGCUAAAUAUUGGCGAGAGACCGAUAGCGAACAAGUACCGUGAGGGAAAGAUGAAAAGCACUUUGGAAAGAGAGUUAAACAGUACGUGAAAUUGUUAAAAGGGAAACGAUUGAAGUCAGUCGUGUCUGGGAGGCUCAGCCGGUUCUGCCGGUGUAUUCCUCUCAGACGGGUCAACAUCAGUUUUGUCCGACGGAUAAGGGCGGCGGGAAGGUAGCACCUCCGGGUGUGUUAUAGCCCGCUGUCGCAUACGCCGGAUGAGACUGAGGCAUGCAGCUCGCCUUUAUGGCAGGGGUUCGCCCACUUUCGAGCUUAGG